rnacentral:tRNA from 1 species
UCCUUGGUAGUCUAAUGGGUAGGACUCAGUACUUUCACCACUGUGGUCUGGGUUCAAUCCCUGGUCUAGGAA